GACAGAGGCCUCAAGCGUUAGGCGGAAUCACUGGGCUUAAAGCGUGUGUAGGCGGAUGCCUAAGUACCUUGUGAAAUCCCACGGCUCAACCGUGGAACUGCUGGGUAUACUGGGUGUCUUGGGCCAUUCAGGGGCGACUGGAACAAGCGGUGGAGCGGUGAAAUGCGUAGAUAUCGCUUGGAACGCCGAAGGUGAAAACAGGUCGCUGGGGAUGUGCCGACGCUGAGACACGAAAGCCAGGGGAGCAAACGGG
rnacentral:rRNA from 1 species